AUUGAACGCUGGCGGCAGGCCUAACACAUGCCAGUCGAGCGAGCGGCGGACGGGUGAGUAAUGUAUGGGGAUCUGCCUGAUGGCGGGGGAUAACUACUGGAAACGGUAGCUAAUACCGCAUACCAUCAGAUGAACCCAUAUGGGAUUAGCUUGUAAGUGAGGUAACGGCUCACCUAGGCGACGAUCCCUAGCUGGUCUGAGAGGAGGAUAAAGAACACUGGGACUAAGACACGGCCAAGACUCCGACGGGAGGCGGCAGUGGGGAAUAUUGCACAAUGGGCGCAAGCCUGAUGCAGCCAUGCCGCGUGUAUGAAGAAGGCCUUCGGGUUGUAAAGUACGUUCAGUCGGGAGGCGUUACCGACAGAGGAAGCACCGGCUAACUCCGUGCCAGCAGCCGCGGUAAUUC
rnacentral:rRNA from 1 species